UCUCCCUGGCAAUAGGCAAAGAGACACAUUUUCAGUGGUGUUCUUCUAUCAGUCAGGGGCAAAGCAAAUUACAGUCCUUUGUUCAUCCUAACUUGAUGCCUGGCUUCGUGGCCAAAGCUGUAUUAUGCCUAGGACAGAGAA